rnacentral:rRNA from 1 species
UACCAGCACCCCGAGUGGUCGGGACGUUUAUUGGGCCUAAAGCAUCCGUAGCCGGUUCUACAAGUCUUCCGCUAAAUCCACCUGCUCAACAGAUGGGCUGCGGAAGAUACUAUGGAGCUAGGAGGCGGGAGAGGCAAGCGGUACUCGAUGGGUAGGGGUAAAAUCCGUUGAUCCAUUGAAGACCACCAGUGGCGAAGGCGGCUUGCCAGAACGCGCUCGACGGUGAGGGAUGAAAGCUGGGGGAGCAAACCGG